AUUGAACGCUGGCGGCAGGCCUAACACAUGCAAGUCGAGCGGGGUUUUCGGACCUAGCGGCGGACGGGUGAGUAAUGCGUAGGAAGCUACCCGAUAGAGGGGGAUACCAGUUGGAAACGACUGUUAAUACCGCAUAAUGUCUACGGACCAAAGUGUGGGACCUUCGGGCCACAUGCUAUCGGAUGCGCCUACGUGGGAUUAGCUAGUUGGUGAGGUAAUGGCUCACCAAGGCGACGAUCCCUAGCUGGUUUGAGAGGAUGAUCAGCCACACUGGACAUGAGACACGGGCCAGACUCCUACGGGAGGCAGCAGUGGGGAGUAUUGGACAAUGGGCGCAAGCCUGAUCCAGCCAUGCCGCGUGUGUGAAGAAGGCCUUCGGGUUGUAAAGCACUUUCAGUAGGGAGGAAGCGUUGUGUGUUAAUAGUACACAGCGUUGACGUUACCUACAGAAGAAGCACCGGCUAACUCUGUGCCAGCCGCCGCCGCUGUA
rnacentral:rRNA from 1 species